UGUCCUUUUUGACAGAGGGUGUCUAGAUAUCUCUUGAGCCAACAGAAAUAGAAAAUAAACCGCUUUCCCCUCUCUCCUAACAACGUGCCCUUUUUACAGUCAGGGCCUUGACAGGCUGUCACUCGGUUUCCACUCCCCGCCAGGAAUGUCCUUGAAUGGCCCGAGAGAAGCCAGAAAAUUGUUGCUAAGUAUUUUUUCAUUCACCUCUAGAAUUUUCCACAUUUUCUCCAACAUGUGUGAAGCCACUGGGAAAUAUGGUUAAAUGAGUUAAGCAGACAUCACCCAUCUGUGCAUCUCAGGGAAAAUAAAAACAGUGCUCUCCCUCUGAAAGCUUUCUUGGUACAUAACCAAAAUCAGAACAACCACCACACUCGAAAGCUAAACCUAGGGAAGGCUCCUGCAGGAGAUAAGGGAGCAGCACUCUGAAGAAACUGCUUCUUCUGGCUUACCCUGGUGCUGCUGGUGCGUGGCCUUGGCAGAACCAAGGUGGUCCUAGCACCUCUGCUCCUCCAAAAUGCCUAAAGGCCACCGGACACGGGAGAAAACACGGCUGCACAGCUUAUCUGCUUCAGACAGUAUCAAAAGCCUGGCAUUGAGCCUCAGCUCUGAAUUCUAGUCCCCUCACCAACCAAAUGAUCACUUUGCAGCCUCUUCCUUGUUUGUGUAAAUGUUUGGUAAUUCUAGAUAGAAGGCAUCGCAAGAACCCUACUUUUGCUCAAGUUUUGAUUCACCCUUUCAUAUUUGUUUACGCCACUCUUUCUACUGCUCCAAGGAUUUGUAAUUUGUAUCUCUCAAACAGUUCCCACUUGGAUUUCUCAUGCACUGAAAACUCAGAUGCCUGACAUUACUGUGUAAAGUUAAGUGCUUGGGGUUAAUGAAUGGCAUUAAAUUUUAUGAGGUCAUGUCCAGUAGAUGUUAAAAGAAGCUUAAGGGAACUUUAUCACUGAUAGAAAUUAACAGUUGGCAUGAUAGAAUGCCUGAGGGAGUUCAGUUCUAAGCAAAAAUAAAAUUGCUGGUAUAAAAACUAAAAUAUAGAGUCAUUGUGAUUAAUGUAAACAUUUUUGUUAGGUAAUUGGUUACGUGUUGCAGUAAAAGAAAUGAGACCUCACAGUUUGAAAGGAAAGAAUAUUAUUGUAUUUAGAAAGCAAUUAAUGUUUCUAGUCAAAUAAAAAAAAUCUACAUCACGUACAAUAUUUAUAUUCUUUCAGUAAACAUAUAACCUUUGGGGCUAUAUUUAUCAAAUAGUCAAGUCUCCACUUAUUUACAUUAGUUUUUUUCUUUGGGCAAAAUGUGUUUUCCCUAGUGGAGUAUGUUAUUUUGUUUCAUUAAACCUUUAUUUCUACUCACACGCAUUGCUUAUAUUACAGACCAAAUGAGUAAAUUCUCUGUACUUAAGUCAUCUAAGGUUUGUGUUUUGGGGUGACUGAUGGAUGGCAUGAAAAUUCUGUUUCAAAAAGAAAAUGGCUACAUUAACUUAUGGAUAGAUCUGUUUUGCAUAAUUAUGUGGGGAACUAUUCAGUAAUUACACUACUAUUCACAUACUGUAAUUUUCGUCAUCCUUAUUCACUGUCAUUCCAAUGAGAGGAAAUGGAAAACUUGUUCAGACGUACAUAUUCUUUCUCGCUCUGUCUUACGACCUGCAGUCACAGCAUAUAGUACUUUUUCGAGUAAUGCCUGUGUUCAAGUAAGACAGCUAUUUUCUUGAAUUUCCCUCCCACGGUGUGCCUGUAAAUUCUGCACCCGUACUUCAAAGUCUUUAAUGCCACGCUAUGGAUAUGCCUAAAUAGCCUUGUGCCAGCCCGUUUCUUUCACAUCACUUGAGGUCUGUACCGUCUGGGUGCCGUGUUGGAGGCAACAGUGUCAAGCCUGCUGGAAAUGCAGAUCUCUAGUAUGGAAGAGGUAAAGCCUCUGGAUCAGAGGUUUUUUUCUCCUCUCCAGCUGGACAGAGCGGUACCAUACGGCUGAGGAAAUCAUGGCCACGUCCUGAAUUUGGAAGGUGAAAUCUGAAGAAAAAGUGAAAAUAUUUUAGAAUUUGUAGUCCCCCAGGACUGUUCUCUUGCUCUCCAGACAAUUACGUUUCUGGUUUAAUAGGAAUUACCUAUGUGAAAUACCUUUUCACAUUUUCCUCAGGUGGUGCUUGGUCAAAAAUCUGGAGUAAAAAAGCUGAUGCUCUCUGGGUGCAAAAUGAAAAUGUCACGCAGCAUCAGACUGUUUUCCUUUUGGCUAAAAGUGCUUCAUACUUGCAUCCUUAGUUCCGCUCUGAAGUGCCACCAGGGAUUGACACUCCUCAUCCUCCUCGCAGGAGGGCAAGGGUGGAGAACAGAGAUCUGUCCUGUGAUGGAUGACAUACUUCCUUGCAGAAAUGUUUGGUGAGGAGUUUCUUCCUCGGUGUCUACAACAGAGGGACCAUUGUUCGCCACACUACCUUGCACUGUAAUGAAUGGAAGCGUUUUGUCAUUCUGGCUGUCAAUUUGAUGUAUUUUUAUAUUCAGAUGUAGCUGUGGACUUUCAUCUCUUGGACAUCCAGAGUGUACUGCUAAUGCAUAUAUACCUUUGCUCUUCAUAUUUUUCUAGAUCUGUCAUUCACAACAUGCAUCUUCUUUUGCACCAGCAAAGUACACAGUUGUGCUCUCCAAAUUAACUGAAGGUUGAUUUAAAAGAAUUUUGAUUAAAAUCUAACAUUUUCAUUAUGCUUUGGUACAUUUUGAUUUGGCAGCUUAAAAGCUCUAGCUCAGUACUUCUUUUAUACUCUUUGGUGACAUGUUUUUUCAUUGGAGAAAUUUAUGGAAAAUGUAGGGUACUGCUCCAUUUCAUGUUCUCUGAGGUAUGGGUCUACUGGAUACAAAAUGUGUUCUGAGAAUUAGCAGCCUUAAUUAGACAGCCUCAGAUUUGGAGUCUAGGGCUUCCUGGCUUCAUCUUAUAAAACCAAGCUAGGCAGCUUUAAGCUCAGGUGUCCCUUUCUGGUGCAGGAUCCUUCUGUAUAAUGUAGAUCAGGAUAAGGGCUGUUCCACCAGCAGCAGCAACGUCCCUUUCAGGGUUGAGUAUUUGAGUCUGUGUGGCAGUGUGGGUCGUCUUCAGGUUGUUCAGGUUUUUCUCAAACCAUCUCGCUCAAGUUUGCCAGGUACUGGUGCUAUCAUAUGGUGAAGGCAUCCUAUGAUUUAAAAAAAAACCAAAAACAAAAACAAACAAACAAACAAAAAAAACCCCACCCAAAACCCAAAAAACCCACAACAGCGUACCUGUGAAUUAUCUUAACUCUUAGACUCUGCUACUGGUGGAACAUCUUUAAGUUUUACCCAGGUAACUAAACUUUACCCAGAGACUAAUUUGCUUUUUCAAAAUUAUUUACAGAAUGAAUUUGUUAAGGAGUGAAAAAAUGUGCUUUCUACUGUGUUAGGAAUGAUGGCUAAAGGAAGUAAAAAUUACAUGCGCUUCUAGUAUGUUGUGUUCAUACUUUAAUCAACCAUUGGUUAUCUCUACUUUUUUUUGUUAGUCAGCCAUUGGUUAUCUCUACUUGUGUGUGUGUGUGUUUGUGUAAUGCUGCUAAAGUGUGUCAUGUAGUUACAUUAUUAAAAACAUGGGUUUUCAUUAGAUACAAGCAGGAUCCCUUUUCUAACUAAUUUAACCGAUUAUCCUGCAGUUUACAUUGAUCGAAAUCCAAAGCAGCCUGUCAAACCUACAGAUCUGACUGCUUCCACCGGUGCUAAAAGGAGCUGUGGUAGGGGAGGAGGAGGCUGCAGAUGGAAGGAGCCAGAGGGCUGAGCUUCCUGGAGUGACAGGGAUGCUGAGGGUACCCAAGUGCCUCUCCCUGCCCCUGGGCAUUUUAGUAACUGGCUGCAUGUGGGACUUCCUUCACCUCUUACUGUGUGCUUUUCAAGCCUUUGAGGAAAGUUCAGGCAUUGCCUAGUCUUGCAUCUCUGUGACAACUUCCAAAGUUCAGGCUUCUCCUCUGCUUCCUCUGGGAGCCAAACCCCACAGUUCAGCUGCUGCCUCUCGGGGUAGUGCCAGCCCCUGCAUGGGGUGCCAAGUAGCUCCACUGCCUUUUGGUUUCUUGUGUGCCUGAAUUCCCGUGUUGCCAUUUGCAGCAGUGGUGCUGCUGCUUUUAUUCUUCCUGGUUGCCUCCUAGCUGUAAAUACUGUCUGUUAUCCCGUUCCAGGUAAGCGAGUAGCUGUUACCCCAUGUGUCACCAGAGUAACCAUGAGAAUGCUCUGACUUUGGGCUGUACCUCUUUACGUGUGUGUGCUGGGCAAACCAAAGUGGUAUGAUUUUCAGUUUUCCAAAACACAUUUAUGCUCAAGAAAGAAAGUCCAAGAAAGUACAUUCUGCUUUCAGAAGCCUUUGACGUCCAUUAACAGUGCUGGAAGUCGUCAGCCUGCUGGAGUAGCUUCCUAUGAUAAGAAACAGCAAAGAAACAAAGCAGAAUUGCUCCUGCUCUCGUUAACCUCUGGUCCUGGUUAUCAUGAGGACACCUCCCCAGCUUUAGCAGGUGAGGCUGCCUAUCACUACCACCUGCCUUCCUGGCCAAGCUGGCCUUUCUCCUGGUAAACCUGUUAUUCUCAGCUGAAGAGCAGCUAGCUCCUUUUUCAAAGGGCAAUUCUAUUUCCAUAAAAGAUCACGUAAUCCUUUCUGGUUUGUCCUGUACUAUCCUUUAAUCUUGGGAGAACAACAGAAUGUUAGAAAACGGCUCAAUCUUUAUCAACUCCAUUUUUUUUUCCACAACUCAAUGGAAUAUGCAUUACUGCUUUUGAAUGUGAAAAUCAAACUAUAUAUACAUAUGAUUUAUUAUCCCAAACAGAAGGAUUGCAUCUUUCUAUAAGACAGAAAUGUGGUUAAAAAUAGGAUGUAAUUGAAGUAAAUUAAAGGACAAUAGUAGCCUUCAAACACAUAAAGAGAUGGUAUGGUUUUCAUAUUGUCAGUGUAAAUAGUCUCUGGAGACCACCUUUUUACAGUGAUUGUGCACGUCUAAGAUUAAGCAAAGCUGCAUGACCAGUGCUAUCUCAGGAGGAUGCUGAGUCAUUAACUCAUGUUUAUUGCCUCUUGCCAUCUUUAGAUUAUUGCAAUUUAUAGCUCAAAGGCCUUUUAGGCUGUUUAUAAGUUAAAAUUAGCCAAAUUCUUCUGGAUGCAAGUGAUAAGUCACUCGGCAUUUGUAUAUCAUGGGACACAAGUUCCUAGCGAUGAAGCCAGGUGGCUUCUAAGAUUUUUUUUUCUUUCUAUGCAAACUCUUAAUUGUGCUAUUUGUCCCUAGUUAUACUGGAUUACUCUAUCCUCUGUUUUGCUGAUUUUGCUAAUGUGCUAUUUUGUGAAGUGUGUAUACUCUUAAAGAAUUUACUGAAGUUCGAGAUGAUAUUAUUUACUAGGUAUACAGCUUCCACUUCAAUCAGACUACACUAAAAUGUUUGUAUCUUUUUCUGGAGUCUUCUGAGUCACAUUUGGUGAUGACCUAGGAACUUCAGUUGCGCAUGGUAAAUGAUAAGUUUAAAUUAAGCCAGCCAGGUUAAGUAUAAGACAUUAAGAUACAGGGUGUAGUAUUGAGCAUAUGAACAGAAGCUGACAUAAUUUACUACGGACCAAAGACAGGUGCACUAGGAGAACAAUAACUGGGGAAAAAAAAGCUCGAAGAAUCAAAUUUUACCUUAACCUGUGGAUUUUUUUCUUUUACUCGUCUUAUUGCUGCUGGUAGCAAAUUCAAUCCAGGCAUUACUGGACUAAAUGCUUAUCAACUUCUGUGGAAGUCACAUUUGCUUAUAUAAGCUAGUAUUGUGUGGUUCCCACUCAAUGGGAAGCGAAAUUAUUUUUCCAUGUAUGUGCGUUUUCUGAAGCGUUUAAAUCACCGUUGGCAUCACAGUUAAACUUGGCCUUUCCAUCAUGUUCAAAGAGAUUUUUUUUAAAACACCUGUGGAUAUAAAUUAUUUAAGAUUUCAAUACCUUGCAAUCACCUGAGAAUUCUUCUGAAGCACUCGUAAGAAUUAGUUUAAUGGUAUUAAGAGUAAAAUUCCUUAUUCUAUGUAUUUUACUGGUUUUAGAGUACAGUGUAUAGCUCAGCCUAUUGGUAAACACAGAGGCUUUAUCGGGGAGAGAAAUAUUAUAAAUAAAUCCUUUGAAUGUACUUAUUGUUGAAUUUAUUUUAAAUUGAGCUAAAGGGUCUACAUUCUUAAAUGCUAAUGCCACAUUCUGAUUUCAAAAUCAGUCAUCUAGACUUUUGUGUAUCUUUUCCCAUCCACACUUUUCACACAUACAUUUUACAUGUGGAAAAGUGGUAUGUUAAUUUACAGGCUAACCUAAUGACAGAGUUGGUGUUUAGAUCUGUGAACACUCAGAAGCAGUUUCACUUAAAAUGGAAACCCUGUUAUUUUUAUGUGUCUUGAUUUAAACUGAAGUGCAUAGACAAAAUUAUUUGAAACAGAGAUUUUGCAUGGAGAAUACGCAGAGUUUACUCAUAUAGGCGGAUACACAUAUGCAACUGUGAUUUUAUAUGCAAAGAUCAUAGAAGCUGCCACUUGAUCGUCGUAAAUCAGCAAUCCAAAAGACACCGGAAUUGACUGGGUUUGAGCAACAUGCAAGGCAAGGUACUGUCAUUAUCUCCAGAAGUUUUUCUUCAUAACUGCAAACCAGUGUGUUUGCCUAUUACAUUGUUCAGCAGCUUUCUGCGGGGCUAAAACAGCCUUUGAUUUUGCACCUUGGUGUCAGCAUUCCUGACCUGCUUUCAAAUGUGAGCAGCUUUCACUGUCAGAAGACGAGUGUAUGUGUGGGUACCGUAUUGUGUUUUCCAGUUUUGUUCCUUCCUUAACACAAAUACGCUUAAAGGGGAAAAAACACUGUUAAUGCCUGAUAGAUUUUUCUGGUGUCGAUAUUGGAGGAUAAACAAAUGGAAUAUUUCAGCCUGUGUAAGAGUUUUGCACUUUGAAUGGCGAAGUCUCACAGUUAAUUAUCUGCAUAAAUCACUCAUUAUCAUAGUGUGUAUUUUUUAUGUCAUUCAUGGCAAAAGACUGUUUUAGGGCACAGUUGUUGAAACCAAAAUGCAACCCAAAAAUCUGUACCAAGCAACGCAAGCAUUCAAAGCAUGCAUCUAAUGCUAAAUGAACUUUGAAGCAAGGGAUAGAGUCAGAUUUACACUUAAAAGAUUGCUUACCAAAAAGUUGCGUCGUAUUUAUUUCAGAAAACUGAAACAACUUCCUCGGAGUGAAAUGUUCUUCAACUUUCCAGCCUAAUAAUUAUUUAAUAAAUAUCAGAAGUGCUGCGCACUUAAUUCUUUAGCUGAAGGCAUUAUUUUCAGGUUCCGUACACCGCUUCCAGCUUGCUCCAUUUAAUCAUUUUAAAAGCUUAUUUGGUGUAAAUUGAAUUUAACACUGUGGUUGCAAGGGUGUUACGCAAAAAGUCCGAAAGAUUGUGUGUGGCAAAGGGGCUGCGGGUGCCAGCGAUGGAGCUGCGGAAGGGGAGCAGCGCCUGCAUCAUCCGAAACUCUGCAGCGCCCUCUCUUGACACGACGCAGCAAUGCCGUGAGCUUCCCUCCCGCACUCCUCGGGAAGCCAGCAAAAUACAGCGACAUCCAUCUCUCUGCUCCGUUUUACUUUUUAAACAUCUAGUUUAUGUAGUAAAACCUCAAUUUGCCGUAUGUUUUGGGAUUAGUUCUCCUUAUAUUUUUAUUUUUUUUUUCUCCUUCUACUGCCAUUUUGGUCUAUCAGCAGACCCAAGUCAGAAUGCUUCAGUCGUCUUAGUCGUUCUGCAUUUUAUUUUAUUUUUUUCUUUGCUGCAGACAUCCUGAAGACUUUCCAAACUGCAUAUUUGAUACUGUAGAAUUACAAAUUGUCUGCUGUUUUGUAAACCUUUCAAUUGUCAAACUGUUCUCUUUCCAAAUAAUAGAGGAGCCUGGAAUCGCCCAUGCUAAAAUUAAGAAUUUAUAACUGUAUGGAACAGAUGUUUUCAUAAACAUUUGCUAUAAUUAAUUUCAACUAGGGGAUUGAAGGAACAAAGCAGUUUUUCCCUCUUCAAAACUUUAUUGCCUUUUCCCCAUACAGCGAACUCAGAAAUCUUUGCUUUAAUAUUGUUAAUGAAACAAAUUUACUAUUCUGUUUGGUUUUCGUUGCGAAAAAAGAAAGCUUAAUUUGAACAAGAUACCAACCUUUGGAACAAUGGACAAAUACGCUGAAUUUCAGACACCAUCUAUAAAGGAUUAAAAUACAGAGCAUGAGUCUUUAGGUGCUUUUUCUGAGACCAUGACUCUGUGGUGUCACUGACUUGACAGAGAUUCCUGUGUAUCAGAAAAAAUUUCAUCCAGAUCAGUUUGAUGAAUAUCUAUCUGUGAAGUAAAUAGUACAAAGGAAUUUUAUGUUUGAAGAGUUGUGAACCUCGGUGUUACAAAAAGCAAAGGAGUCUUGUGGAAUUAUAUAUAGUUUUAAUGCAUAGUAAAAUGCUUAUUGUAUGUUGAUUACCCCUUUAUACUCACAAUAAAGGUCUGCAAUCUGUUAAGCAAUUUUUUUUUUGUAUGCAUUAUAUGAGGAGCACAUUUUGACUAAAAUCAUUCUUCCAUAUUUGUAUUGUCACUAUUUUUGGAGGGAUAUUGUUUGGAAUGUGUGUAGUUUAGAACCAGAAUUUUGGUGUUAUCGUGAAGAAGAAAAAAUAGCCAUGCAUUAUUGUCCUGUUUUUACUAGUUCCUCUAUAUUGUAUAAAUAUAAUUUGAGAAAAGAAAUGUUUGAAGUUUUAAAAAAAGAACAGCUUAAUUGUUUUACACCUGAAAGAACCAGUGCAGCUGCAAGGAUUUUUUUGAGCAAACUAGAAUUCCUGACUGAUCUGUCAUCUAUAAAGUGUGCAAAGAAAAAUAGGUAGCUGUCAUUAAAAUUACAUUUCAGCUUUCAAUAACCAUUUAAUGAGUAGCAUAAUUAUAUAAGUAUGGUACCUCAAGUACUUCACUCAAUAAUUAAAAAUAAUCUCAUCUUUAAAGUGAAAGCGCUGUAAUUAUUAUUUGACUUAACCAGGACCACUGUUAUGAUCUCCAGUGGCACCUCAGAUUGUUCAAAGUGGUUUUGAAAGUAUAAAUUAAAAUUGGAUAAAUCAUUAAAUUAUUAAGCUUUAAAUAUGUUGAAAAUGAACAUAAGCACGGAAUUGGAAGUCAUGUUAUAAGAAUUGACAACCUUAGACUGCAAGCAUAUAUUUGUGUUAAAAUUAUCCUUGUCUCUAAUCGUAAAACACUGCAUUAAUGAUCGAGUGCUUUAUAUCCACCUGAACUUAAAAUUUUCACAGCUGUUAAAUAAAUUUUGUUUUUUUAACAACAUUUUAACCUUUGAGUAGAAUACAAAGAAUAUAUUAAGCAGACUGCAAACUCGUCAGCGGAGAGAUCUAUCUCCAUUUUGACACUUGUUAGCAGGGGGAUGCGCAGUUUGAUUUCCUAAGUGGGAUCACUUUUACCACGAAUUCCUAAACUGCCAGCCAUAAAACCUUGCAGAGCUGACAAGGAUGGGUAUGUCGGUUAGCACUAUGUAGUAAUACACGUGUGCCCACACACAGACAUGCAUAUGCGUGUAUACGUACAGACAGAAAUACAUAUAUAUGUAAAGGCAUUUCUUCAGUGUCAAAAUCAUUCUCAAAAGAAAAAAAAAAAAAAAGAAGUUAUUUUUAAAAGUAGGAGUAUAUCCAUAGAGUAAGGGAAUGUCACUCAAGCUUCCUGUCUUCAUAGACUUGCAGCUGGUGAUGACAGUAUCCCACCCCUUCUCUGUAAGAAGUCCUGUGCUGAAUUUUUGCAUCUUGCAGAAAACAGCUGUUCUCAAGAGAAGUGAUGAAGGACAUCAGUGAGAAGUAUCUGAUCCCUACAUCCUUCUUCACGUGCUUUUUCAUUCUUGUUGAGCGCAUGCUUAAGCUCAGAAUGCUCCUUGUGCUUGGUGCAUACCCAGAGCAUCUUCCCACCGUUGAACUGGGGCUCGGAAAUCUGGUUUAUUCUUAUUGCUUGAUGUGGAAACUGUGUACUGCACCUUGAAAAAACUCUUCUUUAAGGAAAUAUUAUACUAUCAGUAUAUUAGGCUCUUCAAAAAUUAAAAUACAAAAAUACUGUGCAUACUUAAA